GAUGAACGCUGGCGGCGUGCCUAAUACAUGCAAGUCGAACGACCAGACGAGGAGCUUGCUCCCCUAACGUUAGCGGCGGACGGGUGAGUAACGCGUAGAUAACCUUCCUCUAAGACUGGGAUAACUACGGGGAACCGCAGCCAAUACCGGAUAAUACUAUCUACCGCAUGAUGCAAUAGUUAAAGGCGCCUUUGCCGUUUCAUUUAGACGAUGUCGGGUUAGCUAGUUGGCGUGGUAAGGGCCCACCAAGGCAACGAAGCGUAGCUGGCCUGAGAGGUUGAUCGGCCACACUGGAACUGAGACACGGUCCAGACUCCUACGGGAGGCAGCAGUGGGGAAUCUUCGGCAAUGGGCGAAAGCCUGACGGAGCAACGCCGCGUGAGUGAUGAAGGUCUUCGGAUCGUAAAGCUCUUUUAUUGGGGAAGAACAAAUGUAUGAGUAACUAUGCACGUUUUGACGGUACCUAAACAGAAAGCCACGGCUAACUACGUG
rnacentral:rRNA from 1 species